rnacentral:sRNA from 1 species
UUCCACGUGCGAAAGCCCCGGACUCGUGGAAUUGUGAACGCCGCGGACUCCGAAGCCGCACAAACCAGGGCUCGCCAUGAAGCCAGGUUUCAGUCCCCGUGGGGGUGGCUUUGGCGGCCGAGGGGGCUUUGGUGACCGUGGCGGUCGUGGAGGCCGAGGGGGCUUUGGCGGGGGCCGAGGUCGAGGCGGAGGCUUUAGAGGUCGUGGACGAGGAGGAGGUGGAGGCGGCGGCGGCGGCGGCGGUGGAGGAGGAGGAAGAGGUGGUGGAGGCUUCCAUUCUGGUGGCAACCGGGGUCGUGGUCGGGGAGGAAAAAGAGGAAACCAGUCGGGGAAGAAUGUGAUGGUGGAGCCGCAUCGGCAUGAGGGUGUCUUCAUUUGUCGAGGAAAGGAAGAUGCACUGGUCACCAAGAACCUGGUCCCUGGGGAAUCAGUUUAUGGAGAGAAGAGAGUCUCGAUUUCGGAAGGAGAUGACAAAAUUGAGUACCGAGCCUGGAACCCCUUCCGCUCCAAGCUGGCAGCAGCAAUCCUGGGUGGUGUGGACCAGAUCCACAUCAAACCGGGGGCUAAGGUUCUCUACCUCGGGGCUGCCUCGGGCACCACGGUCUCCCAUGUCUCUGACAUCGUUGGUCCGGUGAGUGAGUAGAUGGAGAGGCAGGAGGUAAAGGCUGCCUCCCCUCUGCCAGCUUGGAAUAUCAGGGUUUGACUGCUUGCCUGUGCUGUGUGACUUAGGGCCAGGCCCUUUUCUGUCACAGUGCCUGUGAGUAAAAGGAGUGGCUUAAACCAGAUAAUGUCACUCAACCUCACUCCUGGGUUCUUGGCCUCAAGGGAAGAGACGUGGGUGUGGGGUGACCAACCUUAGACAACUGGGAGUAUAGAUACCAGACUAUUUGAUUUGAUGGGCCUCUUUAAAAUUUUAUGCUGCUAAAACCUGCUCUUCUGGUUUCUUUAGAAAGAACCAGGAGAUCUCAUGGUUUCUGAGCCUGUAUAGGCUUCCCAUUUAGAGGGCCCCUGGCACCCACGUGUCCCACUCUGUUACCCUUUGUUACUUUACGUGUUUAUAAGCUGUUAAGUGUAGUGCCUUAAAACCUCAGGCUUUGGCCAGACGAGGUGGCUCAUGCCUUUAAUCCCAACACUUUGGGAGGCCGAGGCAGGUGGAUCACCUGAGGUCAGGAGUUUGAGACCAGCCUGACCAACAUGGUAAAACCCCGUCUCUACUAAAAAUACAAAAAUUAGCUGGGUGUGGUGGCGUGUGCCUGUAGUCCCACCUAUUCGGGAGGCUGACACAGGAGAAUUGCUUGAACCCAGGAGGCGGACGUUGCACUAAGCUGAGAUCGCACAGCUGCACUCCAGCCUGGGCAACAGAGCGAGACUCAAAAAAAAAAAAAACAAAAACCUCA